rnacentral:rRNA from 1 species
UGGGGAAUUUUGGGACAAUGGGCGCAAGCCUGAUCCAGCCAUGCCGCGUGCGGGAAGAAGGCCUUCGGGUUGUAAACCGCUUUUGUCAGGGAAGAAAUCUUCUGAGUUAAUACCUCGGGAGGAUGACGGUACCUGAAGAAUAAGCACCGGCUAACUACGUGCCAGCAGCCGCGGUAAUACGUAGGGUGCAAGCGUUAAUCGGAAUUACUGGGCGUAAAGCGUGCGCAGGCGGUUUUGUAAGACAGAGGUGAAAUCCCCGGGCUCAACCUGGGAACUGCCUUUGUGACUGCAAGGCUUGAGUGCGGCAGAGGGGGAUGGAAUUCCGCGUGUAGCAGUGAAAUGCGUAGAUAUGCGGAGGAACACCGAUGGCGAAGGCAAUCCCCGUGGGCCUGCACUGACGCUCAUGGCACGAAAGCGUGGGGAGCAAAA